rnacentral:snRNA from 1 species
GGCGCAAGUGAAAUACCAC